rnacentral:rRNA from 1 species
UACGUAGGGGGCAAGCGUUGUCCGGAUUUAUUGGGCGUAAAGAGCGUGUAGGCGGCCAGGUAGGUCUGCUGUGAAAACUCGAGGCUUAACCUCGAGCUGUCGGCGGAAACCAUCUGGCUAGAGUCCGGAAGAGGAGAAUGGAAUUCCCGGUGUAGCGGUGAAAUGCGCAGAUAAUCGGGAAGAACACCCGUGGCGAAGGCGGGCU